CGCAGCACCUGGGAGGGCGCGUGUGACUCGUCUCCCAGGUCGUUUGGGCUGGAGUAGGCGGAGGAACGCACCGCGAGCACCAACGUCCCGCCCCUGUCUUGGCGGUCCUCAGGCUUUACAGGAGGCAUGGUGCUGGCAUCUGCUUGGCUUCUAGGGAGGCCUCAGGAAGCUGACAAGCAUGGUGGAAGGUGAAGGAGGAGCAGGCCAUAACAUAGCAAAAGGAGGAGCAUCAAGACCAAUGAAAGUUUCAAUAAGAAAUAAAAAAAGCAGGAGCAAGCAAGAGAGAGAGUGGGGGGAGAUGCCACUUACUUUUAAGUGAUCAGAUGUUUUGUGAACUCAGAGUAAGAGCUCACUUAUCACCAAGGAGAUGGCCCAAGCCAUUCGUGAGGAAUCCACCCCCAUGAUCCAAAUACCUUUCACCAGGCUCCACCUCCAGCACUGGGGAUUAAAAUUCAACAUGAGAUUUGGGUGGGGACAAAUACCCAAACUAUAUUACUGCCCUACUCCAGAUGAACACCUUAAAGAAAUUGCACCCCUCCCACUGGAUGCUUCAGCAUGGAGACUGUGGGGUGGCGCCCUGUCAACAUGCCCACCGAGCACUAAGUGAAGGACAAUAAAGAGUCAGUGUCUCUACACUAGAGACUUGGGGAGGAUUUCAGAGAAGAGAGAACUGGAGAGAAAAAUCUUUAACUCUGUGUAUGAAGUCCUGAGCACACCUCUGAGCAGCUCAUGCUUGAAACUGACCAGAAUCAAUAAAGCAGAAACUUUGAGAAUUCAACUAUGGUGUGGAAUACUGCCUAGGUUUCAGAUUAACCUCUAGGUAGCACACAAACAGGGUGGAUGGAAUACUACUCGGCCAUAAACAGAAUGAAUUAAUGGCAUUUGCAGCAACCUGGAUGAGAUUGGAGACUUAUUCUAAGUGAAGUAACUCAAGAAUGGAAAACCAAACGCUGUAUGUUCUUACUCAUAAGUGGAAGCUAAGCUAUGAGGAUGCAAAGGCAUAAGAAUGACAUAAUGGACUUUGGGGACUCGGGGGAAAGGGUGAGAAGGAGGUGAGGGAUAAAAGACUACAAAUUGAGUGCAGUAUACACUGCUUGGGUGAUGGGUGCACCAAAAUCUCACAAAUCACCACUAAAGAAGCUACUCGUAACCAGACACCACCUGUUCCCCAGUAACCUAUGGAAAAAAAUUUUUAAAUAAAUUAUAACAAUGCCUGAUACGCUUUUCAUUGUAUGCAGAGGUAAUAUUUAAGACAACUAUGUUAUAAAGAAUGGGAGAGCAAAGGGACUUAAAUGGUGGUAAGGUUUCUGUAUUUCUCUUGAAAUGGUAAAAUAUUGAUAUUACUAGACUGAUAAGGA
rnacentral:lncRNA from 1 species